UCCCAUCCCUCGAUGAAAAAAUGAUUCGCCCAGCGAGCCCCUCGCACGCGCUAGGGUUCCUCACGCCGCCGUCGCCGCCAUCUCGCACCCAACCCUAGCGUCGCCUCGCCAUCCCUCACCACGUCCCGAUCCAUCCCCUCUCCCCCUAAUCACCCGCUGCACUACAAUAUGCUUUGCCUUGAUGUCGCUUGCUGACGAACUGCGGCGGCGCAUCAGUUGCAGACGAGCUGCGUCGGCGCAUCGACGUUGCUUGGUGAGGGGAAAUAUUGCCUGGAGUCUGGGAAAGGCGCGGGUCUGUCGCGCCAAUCACGGCUUUCAAGCAGGCGCCGCAUCAUGCAUCUCGCCGCCCGCCGACGUGUGAUCGAGUUCGCGCCAUGCCCCAAGCCCAAAAUCCUCUGCGAUGAGACGCCGUGGGACGCGACCGCGACCACCAUCCUCCUCGCUCGCGCUGCUGCCGAAUCACAAGCUCGUCAUGGUCCUCUUCCCCCUCAAGCACAUCCGCCGGCAUCAUGGUGCGCCGCUUCGACCUCCCGUCCCUACUGCAGCCGCACAUCUUCUACAAGGUCUGCCGUGCAUUCACCGACCGCCGGAGAUGCCGCUGCCCACCGCAUCGACGAGGUUCGAGAUGCACAGGAACAUUUUCAGAGGAUGGUAGGUGGUGUUCAUGGCAGCGCUAUCAUGGUCAUCUUUCUACACCUCUACCUCCACUGCCCCUCCUUGGUCCUGCUGCGAGCUGCAAGAGCAGGAAGACACAGCAGUUGGAGUGCUAGCGAAGGGAACAUGUAGCAGCUGCUGUCCGUCUGCAUAUGGUGGCGGCAGCGUGGGUGAUAGACUAUGCGGACACUGGCACCGGCAACGUCGUCUCACAUCUUUUGUUCUCCUUAAUUAGUUCUCAAGCUAUUUGUGAUGAUGCAAUUUUGGGCUAUGUGCGCACGCUACAGUAAAUAGAAUAAGGAUAAUGUUGAUGCUUAUAUGUUCAUACAAUUUUUUACUCUUGCAGUUGCUAAUGCACUCAUAUUAUUUUAAGUUCAUGCUCAUGUAUUGUAGUUCUACAUCUCUCUCCGCCUCCUUCGAUUUGUUGCAGAUUUCUUCCAAGCAUAGUGAGUUGCUUAUAUUUUAAUGUCAAUUUUUAAUUCUUGCAGCUGCUAAUGCAUAUUUUUUGUUCAUGCACAUGCAUUGAACAGCUCCCACAUCUCUCUAUGUCUCCUUCGAUUUGUUGCAGAUUUUUCCCAAGUAUAGUGAGUUGUUAUUCUCUUGCUUUCCAUGUUCUAUCAUAUACUGAACUUGGUACAUCAUUAUAUAAGCAAGUACCGAACAUCAGGAUGUUAAAGAAGAGAUUUCAGAUAUCAACGCUAAUAUCAUCAAGGUUCGGUCAUAUACAUAAUCAUUUUCACACUCCAGCAACAUUAGAUACUACACAGUGCGGAAGAUUAUAAUUUUGAAAUUGACAUUAUAAGUUUCAGAUAUUUCUUGAUAUGGGUGGUGCUGGUAGCCAAAAUCACGUAAAUUACAUAUGGCAAUUGAGUGAGAGGCCAUUACUGUUGGCAUGCCUUUGGAAGUUUGUCCACAAAUCUUGAUAUAGUCCGAAGCUUCUCGGCUAUGCACAUUUUGGGAGGAACUGCUCAUGAACCCAGAGUGGUAUCCCUUCAAGAUUAACAUAGCUGGAGACAUCAAGGUGCGCCGAGUUCUUUUACAGACCAUAGCUAUUUUCCAUCGAUUCUUGGAGGCAGCUGGACCAGAGGUGGACGAUGCUAGAGGAUUGGGCUUGUAUCUAGGAGCUUGUUGAGUGAUAAUGUUCAUGCCCUAAUGUUGUUGCAUCCUUUGUUCCUUCCAUUCCCGAUGGGGUCCGUUAGGCCUCUCCAUCAUCACCCACGUCCAAGGCUCCAAGCACGGUGUGAUGGGUGUCCUGAACCAUGUUGUUGCUCUUCGCCUGGCACUUCAUGGCCUCGUGGGUGUCGACCGCUCCGGGAGCUACCAUUUUUCUGGCCAUGGGUGCACGGGUUGUGCGCUGUGUCCCUCACCUGGGCCUGCCAGGCGCCGGCAGCGGAACGGUGCUUUCUCCAGGACGCUGCCUGUCAAAGGGGCAAGCAGGAUUAAUUGAUGCUAGCAACUAACAAGGUUGUGUAGGCGGCAACACAGUCGGAUUGAAGGUGCAUCUGCAUUUUCUUUGUGCAACAUGAAGAUUUCAGAAGUUGAAGCGAAUGGAAAGAUUUCAUAUGUUAGAAUUCCUAUUCUCGCUGGGAGUAUAUACUUAUGAAGUCGUUGCAUUUUGCAAGUUUUGGGAGUAAUAAAUGAACGAGUCGCUCAACAUAUCAAAUUGUGAGAUGAAAUUGUUGUGACAUAUUUCAAAUAAAUGUAGACAUAUGUUUUAACCUCAGAAGACAAUAAACAAGAAAUUAUAGCUGUUUGUUUCAGAGGAGAAGACCAUCUUGUACUAUCUCCUUACUGAUCCUCUUUUUUAAUCAUUUCAUAUUUUCUUUGCAUCAUAAGAACAUAAUGGUAUAUUUUUUGCUCUAAAUUCUAACCACAGAAAAUAUGGAGUCUCAUCUUCUAUGUUAUAUUCCUUCUUUUAUAUUCAUUCAAACACUAUCUGAAAAAUAUGCUAAUCUUCCGCAACAUUUAAUAGUUCUUUUGGGUAAUUAUUCAUGAAACAAGCUAUUCUGUGGUAGCACACAUGCACUUUAUGUACUAUGCAUUUCCUAUACGAUUUCUUCAUAUGUCACACAUGUGGUUAAAAAGUUUGGAAUGUGAUUAUCAUUUCUUAUUUACGUAGUUUUUUUUCUUAUGGCAAUCAUGUCGGAUUGAAGGUGCAUCUGCAUUUUCUUUGUGCAACAUGAAGAUUUCAGAAGUUGAAGAAAAUGGAAAGAUAGAAGAGGGUUUGAAAAAUAGGGAGAACGUCCAACAACGGGUAAGCAUUCUUUGUAUAUUGAUAUUGAGAAAUUACUCCCUCUGUAAACUAAUAUAAGAGCGUUUAGAUAACUAAAACAGUGAUCUAAAUGCUCUUAUAUCAUUUUACGGAGGGAGUACAUCUUUGUUUGAUUGAAAAAACCGUGUCCGCAUUUUUUAGCCGGUGGUAUAUUGAUAUUGUUUGUAUAUUGUCAAGUGAAGUUUUGUGGUACUACUAUAAAGCACCAAAAGCUGGUAGAGUUGAUUUGCAUGGUGAAAAUAAAUGAAAGUACGGAUUUUUCGGAAGAAGAGCGUGCAUCAAUAGGUGAAGAAAUUGUGAUUUUCAGUUAUAAUAUAGUCCUUACUUAAGAGUCAGGGUUCACACCUAUUCUACUCAUAAUGGAGCUCCUGUUGUGAGCAAUAGAAUAUGAUAUAACCUUUGAUUAGUAAAGUUUUGGCAAUUUUAUGACAAGCCUUUCUCAAAGAAAUAGAGAAAACGGUGCACUUUGGGUUUCGAAGAUGUAAAAACAUUGCUUGUAAAAGGAACUUUUUGAUGUUUCUCAACGCUUCGAGACAUUAAGUGAAGUUAAUGUCAUUCCUAUGACCGGAAGCCAUGACAAAGGUAUGUACAAAGUUGUAGAGGAAUGUAUAUGUUGUGAAACCCUUUUAUUUGCCAAAAUUGUAUUAAGUGUGCGUCAAUUAAUAUGGAUCGGAGGGAGUAGAAGAUUUCUUAUUUGCUUGUCUAUCUUAUGAUUUAAUAUCACUGGGGCAUUUAUAUGAGGCAAAUAUGUUUGUUCCCUUUUUUGUCCACUAAACGGUGAAACUACUCCAAUGAUAGUUUGUCAGCUUGUUUUGUAGUUUCAUUGUGGGAAGCAUUUAGGCUUUUUUGAACUUGGAUGUUUCUAUUUAGGCAGGUUAAUUCAAAUUCUCGUUUUUUUACUUACGUAUUGCUUUUUCUUUAACCUGCUAGGCAUCUUGGGCAUUGUCAACGUGAUUGUGUCGAACUUAAAGACCUUCAUCGACAGGCACAAAUAAUUUAGGAUGUGUUUUGACUUUGUUCUCCCGUUGUCUUUACUUUAUAUUCAUGUAUACCUUUGAACACAUUCUUUAUAUAGUUGUAUGCCCUUUUAAAUAGUAUUUAUUAGCAAGGAGAAACUCUUGUUAUAGUUGAGGCUAAUGUCUUGCUAAUUUCAGUUAUGUUAUUGUGAAGCCAGGACCUUAGAAAAUAUUCUUAUAUAAACAAAUGAAAGAUUUUGUUUUUGAUGGGCGUCAAAUAUAUUUAGUUCAAAACUUAGAUAGCAAGGGUAAUCUUCUAAGUUGGUAUAUUUUGAUGUAUUUAGUUCAAUAAGGGCUUCACUGAGCUCUGGCAAGGGUGGUGGGCUGCCAACUACUCCACAUAGUUAUGUUAUUGUUUAAACCAACUGCAACCUCUAGAUUCCCGUCACUAGCUUUGUGAAUUGGUAGACAGGCGUCAGGUUGGGGGAAGCAUCAGAGUACUACUAAAUUAGUGGGCCUUUGGACAACACCUGAAGCAUUGCAUCAAGGUUCUGAUAAGAAUUUGAUAUAUGUACAAGAACAAGUGCUUGAAAUAUGCUGAACUCUUCUGGCUGGAGUUGUUGUACAGUAUCACGACAUCCACACUUUACAUGGCUUAAGGGACUGUAUAAAUGCCACACACUUGGAAUUCAAAGAAGGUAGGUUUAAAAGGAUACCUUUGAGUUAUUACUUAUGGUGUUUGGUUGACUCAUUUUGUGCGAAAGUUGAAGGAGGAUAUGUUUUUUUUAAUUUGCUAUUUGAUUUCUCAUUUUUUAUCUCCGUCAAUUUUCCUUUAGAGAGCCAAUUUAUUAUAAUUUGUCCAUGGAUCAAAUGUUUUGAUCGACAUGUGGCAUAUUGAUUUUGAGAAGACA